rnacentral:lncRNA from 1 species
AUCCGUGCUCUGCCAGCCCCAGUCAUUCUGCUGUUGCUGCUCUCUGCAGCAGCUUCAGCACAGACCAAUGCUAAAGUAGCUGUAUUGGGUGCUUCUGAGGACAUUGGGCAACUCCUUUUGCUCCUCCUGUUGACCAGACGCCUAGUGAGCAGCUUGGCCCUCUACCAUACUGCUUAUACACCUAGUGUGGCAGCAGAUAUGAAUCACAUUGAGACCAGAGCAAAUGUGAAAGGCUACCUCGGUCCAGAGCAGCUUCCAGAUUGCCUAAAAGGUUGUGAUGUGAUGGUCAUCCUUGCCAGAGUGCCCAAGAAGCAAGAGAUGACAAAGGAUGACCCAGCACUGACCUGAAGCCAAUGUUUGCACCAUUGCCAAUCUAGUUAACUCAACCAUCCCUGUCACAGCAGAAGUUUUCAAGAAGCAUGGCGUGUACAACCUCAACAAGAUCUUUGGUGUGACAACCCUUGACAUCAUGAGAACGAACGUUUGUGGCAGAGCUAAAGGGUCAAUCCAGCUCAAGACAACAUGCCAUCAUUGGUGGUCACACCGGGAAGAAGAUCAUGCCCCUGAUCUCUCAGUGUACUUUCAAGGUUGACUUUCCCCAAGACCAGCUAGCCUCUGGGAGGAUCCAGGAGGCUGGCACAGAUGUAGUAAAGGCCAAGGCUGCUCUUUCUAUGGCUUAUAAUGGGGUCUGCUUUGUCCUCUUCAUCAUGGAUGCCAUGAAUAGGAAGGAAGGAAGGAGUUGCUGAGUGUUCUUCUGUUCAGUCCAAAGAGACAGAGUGUACGUAUUUCUCUACACCAUUUCGAUUAGGGGCAAAAAGGACCCGGAGAAGAAGAACCUGGGUAUUGGCAACAUCUCUUUUUGAGGAAAAAUUUGUUGAGACCACCCCUGAGCUGAAAGCUUCCAUCAAGAAAUGCAAGGACUUUGUCAAGAACAUGAAGUGA